AAAACAGCAAAAAAUUAAGGCUAUACCCUUUAUUUUCGUUUAUUUUAGCGACUUUUUCCAUUUUUCAUAAAUGACCAAAAAACAGCAAAAAAGUAAGGCUAUACCCUUUACUUUUCGUCCAUUUUUAGCGACUUUUUGCAUUUUUCUUAAAUGACAAAAAACAGCAAAAAAUUAAGGCUAUACCCUUUAUUUUCGUCCAUUUUUAGCGACUUUUUCCAUUUUUCACAAAUGACCAAAAAACAGCAAAAAAAGUAAGGCUACC